GGCUUUGUGCCCUGAGCCCUGCCAGAGAGCACGGCAGGCUCUGCACAGCAAGGGGACUUUGGGCCUGGAUUUGGGGUCCCUCUGUGUCCUACACCUGGCUGUUCUGAACACCCCUUCCUGGAUUGUUGGUGCACACCUGAUGGAGGAACAGCUUUUUGGUAGGAAGAGGCUGCGUGGGGAAAAUUCAUCACAGUGUGGAGAAGGAGAGGGUUUCACCAGCAGAUGUGUUUUUGGGAAAGUCUGCCCCUGUGGGUGCUGCCUGAUGGGCGAGGAGCUCUGCUUUGGAAGCAGAAUGUGAAGGUAAACUAAGGCCUCUCAGACUUGAAGAAGGUACGAAGCAUGCACACGAAGUGGACAGCACUGAUUUAUUGAGGAGAAAGAGGAAGAAUGUUGCAAUGCAUCAAGAUGAGGUUUCAGAUGCCUGAGGCUCUGCAGGAACCACGAUAACAGUAAAAAACAGCCUAGCAGAGACGAUCAUCUCUGCAGACUCCACUGGCACCAAAAAUUAAAAAUCAGCUCCAAACAAGGAAGAAAAAGCCUAGCAACAAACAAAAAACCAAACAACUGCUGCAAAGAAAUAAAACUUCUUCCUGUGAAAUGCUUCUUGGCCGUGAAGGGCUUCUGCAGUGAGAAAAAAGCUCCUCCAUGAAGAAGGGUGCAGAGCCUGCUUUGCUCAGAGCCUUUUCCCUCAUCAUCUGAACAAAAGGACAGGGAGGGAAUGUUGGAGGAGAAGAGCUGGAAAGGCGUCGACGAAGCAACUUUUGACAGGGGGUGUGUGGCUCCCCCCAGGACCGGCGAUGGGGAGAGAUGCUGCCGCCUCCCUCUCCUGCUGGGCUCGGGGCUGCCCGGCGUGUCCCUGCUCUCUCUGGUGCUGAGCCUCCUGCUGUACUUUCGGACCUCUGAUUUGCAGUCCCGGGUGUCCCACUUGGAAGCGGACAGACCCACACAGCUCCCUGCCUGGCUCUCAGCAGACCAAAUGGAGACAGCUAUUUUGGGAAGAGUUGACCAACUGCUCAAUGAGAAAUUGAAGUUCCACUUGCCAAGACAUCGAGAAGUUCGAGACACGUACCAGCGAUGCAACUGCCCGGCAGGUAGGGAUCUGGGACAGCUGGCACUGUGGAAAGUGACAAAAACUUUUCUGUCUACAUCUCAUUGAAGGAUUUUUUAAUGCAGUCUCCUGGGUGAAUGCAAAGUUAUGUGUGCUUGCAUAACAGUUUGCUCAAAUACAGGAAAUUGAUAUGGGGGUGUGGGCAACAAGUCUGGUACGUACAUAGGUGCCAACAUGUGAC